rnacentral:rRNA from 1 species
UACGUAGGGGGCAAGCGUUGUCCGGAAUUAUUGGGCGUAAAGCGCGUGUAGGCGGCUCGGUAAGUCUGCUGUGAAAGUCCAAGGCUCAACCUUGGAAAGCCGGUGGAUACUGUCGAGCUCGAGUCCGGAAGAGGCGAGUGGAAUUCCUGGUGUAGCGGUGAAAUGCGCAGAUAUCAGGAGGAACACCAAUGGCGAAGGCAGCUCGCUGGGACGGUACUGACGCUGAGGCGCGAAAGCGUGGGGAGCGAACAGG